rnacentral:rRNA from 1 species
AUCGAACGCUGGAGGCAGGCCUAACACAUGCAAGUCGAACGAGUGGCGGCCGGGUGAGUAAUGUCUGGGUAACUGCCUGAUGGAGGGGGAUAAAUACUGGAACAAGUAGCAAAUACCGCAUACCAUCGGAUGUGCCCAGAUGGGAUUAGCUAUUAGGUGGGGUAACGGCUAACCUAGGCGACGAUCCCUAGCUGGUCUGAGAGGAAGACCAGCCACACGGGAACUGAGACACGGUCCAGACUCCUACGGGAGGAAGCAGUGGGGAAUAUUGAACAAUGGGCGCAAGCCUGAUGCAGCCAUGCCGCGUGUAUGAAGAAGGCCUUCGGGUUGGAAAGUACUUUCAGCGAGGAGGCGUUACUCGCAGAAGAAGCACCGGCUAACUCCGUGCCAGCAGCCGCGGUAAUAC